AGGAAGAACAACCACCCUGGGACUGAAACACGGCCCAACUCCUACCGGAGGCAGCCGUGGGGAAUAUUGGACGAUGGGCGCAAGCCUGAUCCAGCCAUGCCGCGUGAGUGAUGAAGGCCUUACGGUUGUUAAGCUCUUUUUUUCCGGACGAUAAUGACGGUACCGGAGGAAUAAACCCCCGCUAACUUCCUGCCAGCCGCCGCCGUAAUACGAAGGGGGGUAGCGUUGCUCGGAAUCACUGGGCGUAAAGGGCGCGUACGCAGCC
rnacentral:rRNA from 1 species